CCUCUCAUGGCGUAGGGGUAACGCGCCCUACCUAGAGAUUAGGAAGUCGUGAGUUCGAUUCUCACUAAGAAGA
rfam:Aedes aegypti strain Liverpool supercont1.20 genomic scaffold, whole genome shotgun sequence.